GACGAACGCUGGCGGCGUGCUUAACACGUGCAAGUCGAACGGAAAGGCCCUGCUUUUGUGGGGUGCUCGAGUGGCGAACGGGUGAGUAACACGCGAGUAACCUGCCCUUGACUUUGGGAUAACUUCAGGAAACUGGGGCUAAUACCGGAUAGGAGCUCCUGCUGCAUGGUGGGGGUUGGAAAGUUUCGGCGGUUGGGGAUGGACUCGCGGCUUAUCAGCUUGUUGGUGGGGUAGUGGCUUACCAAGGCUUUGACGGGUAGCCGGCCUGAGAGGGUGACCGGCCACAUUGGGACUGAGAUACGGCCCAGACUCCUACGGGAGGCAGCAGUGGGGAAUAUUGCACAAUGGGCGGAAGCCUGAUGCAGCAACGCCGCGUGCGGGAUGACGGCCUUCGGGUUGUAAACCGCUUUCGCCUGUGACGAAGCGUGAGUGACGGUAAUGGGUAAAGAAGCACCGGCUAACUACGUG
rnacentral:rRNA from 1 species